rnacentral:rRNA from 1 species
CCCCUAGAUGUUCUGGGCCGCACGCGCGCUACACUGACGAAUGCAACGAGCUUAUAACCUUGGCCGAAAGGUCUGGGUAAUCUCCAAAUUUCGUCGUGAUGGGGAUAGAUUAUUGCAAUUAUUAAUCUUCAACGAGGAAUGCCUAGUAAGCGCAAGUCAUCAGCUUGCGUUGAUUACGUCCCUGCCCUUUGUACGCACCGCCCGUCGCUCCUACCGAUUGAAUGGUCCGGUGAAGCGUUCGGACCGUGGCCUUUGGACGGUUCGCCGUCUGUUGGCUGCGGGAAGUUCGUUAAACCUUAUCAUUUAGAGGAAGGAGAAGUCGUAACA